GACGAACGCUGGCGGCGUGCUUAACACAUGCGAGUCGAACGGAAAGGCCCCUUUGGGGGUACUCGAGUGGCGCACGGGUGAGUAACACGUGAGUAACCUGCCCUUGACUUCGGGAUAACUUCAGGAAACUGGGGCUAAUACCGGAUAGGAAUCCUUGCUGCAUGGUGGGGGUUGGAAAGCUUCGGCGGUUUUGGAUGGACUCACGGCUUAUCAGCUUGUUGGUGGGGUAGUGGCUUACCAAGGCUUUGACGGGUAGCCGGCCUGAGAGGGCGACCGGCCACAUUGGGACUGAGAUACGGCCCAGACUCCUACGGGAGGCAGCAGUGGGGAAUAUUGCACAAUGGGCGGAAGCCUGAUGCAGCAACGCCGCGUGCGGGAGGACGGCCUUCGGGUUGUAAACCGCUUUCAGCAGGGGCGAAGCUUGUGGUGACGGUACCUGCAGAAGAAGCACCGGCUAACUACGUG
rnacentral:rRNA from 1 species